UACAGAGGGUGCGAGCGUUAAUCGGAAUUACUGGGCGUAAAGCGCACGUAGGCGGCUUGGUAUGUCGGGUGUGAAAUCCCCGGGCUCAACCUGGGAACUGCAUCCGAAACUGCCUUGCUCGAGUAUGGGAGAGGGAAGUGGAAUUUCCGGUGUAGCGGUGAAAUGCGUAGAUAUAGGAAGGAACACCAGUGGCGAAGGCGACCACCUGGACUGAUACUGACACUGAGGUGCGAAAGCGUGGGGAGCAAACAGG
rnacentral:rRNA from 1 species